UGGAAAUCAUUCGCAGAGUGUAAAGGCACAAGGGAGCUUGACUGCGAGACCUACAAGUCGAGCAGGGACGAAAGUCGGGCUUAGUGAUCCGGUGGUUCCGCAUGGAAGGGCCAUCGCUCAACGGAUAAAAGCUACCCCGGGGAUAACAGGCUUAUCUCCCCCAAGAGUCCACAUCGACGGGGAGGUUUGGCACCUCGAUGUCGGCUCAUCGCAUCCUGGGGCUGUAGUCGGUCCCAAGGGUUGGGCUGUUCGCCCAUUAAAGCGGUACGCGAGCUGGGUUCAGAACGUCGUGAGACAGUUCGGUCCCUAUCCGUCGUGGGCGUAGGAAAUUUGAGAGGAGCUGUCCUUAGUACGAGAGGACCGGGAUGGACGCACCGCUGGUGUACCAGUUGUCUUGCCAAAGGCAUCGCUGGGUAGCUAUGUGCGGAAGGGAUAAGUGCUGAAAGCAUCUAAGCAUGAAGCCCCCCUCAAGAUGAGAUUUCCCUUAGUUUAUCUAAAUAAGAUCCCUGAAAGAUGAUCAGGUUGAUAGGUUCGAGGUGGAAGUGUGG
rnacentral:ncRNA from 1 species